UACGUAGGCAGCGAGCGUUGUUCGGAGUUACUGGGCGUAAAGGGUGUGUAGGCGGUUCUUUAAGUUUGGUGUGAAAUCUCCCGGCUCAACCGGGAGGGUGCGCCGAAUACUGAGGGACUAGAGUGCGGGAGAGGAAAGUGGAAUUCCUGGUGUAGCGGUGAAAUGCGUAGAUAUCAGGAGGAACACCGGUGGUGUAGACGGCUUUCUGGACCGUAACUGACGCUGAGACACGAAGGUCAGGGGAGCAAACGGG
rnacentral:rRNA from 1 species